GAGAUUCUACACAUACAUUCCUUUAUUCAAUAGAUAGUUCUGUAGUAGUUUAUCCAACAUUUCUUUUCACAAUUUAUAAUACACUAUAUACAAGUAAUCAUGUAAUGAUAUCAGUCACAAAAUAUUUUAGAACUGAAUUGUUUUGUUAUGAGAUUUGUGAAAAUUAAACUGGGUGCUUUAACUAAACAUCAGUGAAAUUAAUCUGUCCUCAAAACCAUAGAAAAAUAAAUGCUAGGAUCAAAUAUCUUAAGCCACAUGUACAAAAAACUUCAUCACAUUAAUUGGUUCCAUUUCACUGACCAAAUUGAAAACUUUCUUGUAAAAAAACAACCCUGAACCAAUCUUUCUGUGUCUAGUCCUCACACAUUCAUCAUUGUACAUGAUCACACAACUGUAUUUAUUGAAAGCUAUACAUUUCAAUUCAAAUGAUUUACCAAUCUGAGGCUAUCAAUCAUAGCAUUCUAGAAUCUUAAUAUAACACAAAGUUAUAGUGUAAGUUGAGCCAAAUAGUAAGAAAAUGUUCUAUGGCAAUUCAAGAUGUUUUUGUGCUAAGAUCUGUCUAAAAUAAUGUACUUCUGGUGCUGAAUGCUACAAUGCACUACUAAUACUGUGUGCACCAAUGUACAACUAAUUUUGUGUGCACCAAUGUACAACUAAUUUUGUGUGCACCAAUGUAAAACUAAUUUUGUGUGAACCAAUGUAAAACUAAUUUUGUG